CUUACGGCUAGGUAUUCCUGUCAGUCAGGCUACAGUCUCUCUGGUCCAACCACGAGAGUCUGCCAAAGUGACGGUACUGCUUGGACUGACGAGGAUCCCUUUUGUGUUCAAUGUGAGGAACUGCACCUUGGGAGUAACAUGAACGUGACCUUAGUGACAAGUGGUGUGAUCAGUCAAGCCGUUGUAUUAUGUGACCCGUGGUUUACCCUCGCCGACAGCCAAAACGUCACCUGUAGCUCUAACGGAUCAUGGAAUAUCCACCUUCCGACAUGCGUACGCUGUGAGCAGCUGCAGGUUGGAACAGGCCUGUCGUACAAGGUAACGACAAGCGGCU